UAUUUUUUACUCAAAAAGAAAAAAUAUAUUUUUUUGGACUUCGAACAGCGAUUGUCAAGGGGGCUGCAAAUAACGCUACAAUUUAUCUAUGCGGACUUAAAAACAACGCUACGCGGGUCACCCGACCCUACAAAACCCUCUCUUUGCUCCAUUUUUCCCUCUCUGUUUGGGUCUUUUCGGUCUCUCUCUCUCCCUUCCUCUACCCAACCUUUCUAGUUCUGAUUUCUCCGACACCGUAAACUUCCGGUCUCUCUCCUCCUCUCCCGUUUCAGAUCGACCCGAAAAGUUCGCUUUUUCCGAAACCCUAAUUUCUCAUCUCUCUAUUUAUUUUUUUCUCUUGCACUCCCACUGCUCCACUGCUGGAUAAUGCAUGGUGAUUCCUUCUUUUUCCCUUUUUAAUAAUAGGUUUCACAAUUGCAAGUACGUAUAAUGGCUAGGGCUUUAUUCGCGAUUCAUUGAAGCAUUGAACACCUUUUUUCCUGUUUUAGAGCAAAAACCUGUGGGGUAGAGAACUAUAUAAACGAAGAUGUUUGGUGCAACUAACAGUUGAAAAUUAGCUUCAUUGUUUAAAAAGCAAUUAUAUGCUGCGUCCGUGAUAUUCUCAGAUCGUUAUCUUACUUUUUUUAGGUUAUUCUUUUCUUUUAUUAUUAUUAUUCUUUUUGGCAGUUUUCUCUACUGCAUUUUAUCUCAGCAAAAUUCUUUACUGGUAUCCCGAUAGUGCUCUGUUCCCUAGUAGCUGUUUAUCAGGUUGUAUAGCUUCUUGCUCUGCUACUCGUUAUAAUAUUUUAAUUAGCAAAAUUGUUAAGCUUGUUAUUGGUCAAUUAUUUGUGCUUUGUCUGUGAUUUAUAUGCUUGUAAUUUUUCAUUCGUGUUUAUGAUUUGUUGUUACCUUUAACCUAUGUGUUACAUGUUGUAAACAUCGAAUUUUAUUCGAGUCUACAUUUUUUAAU